rnacentral:rRNA from 1 species
CCAGACUCCUACGGGAGGCAGCAGUGGGGAAUAUUGCACAAUGGGGGAAACCCUGAUGCAGCGACGCCGCGUGAGUGAAGAAGUAUUUCGGUAUGUAAAGCUCUAUCAGCAGGGAAGAAAAACCGACCAUAGGGUCGCUAGACGGUACCUGAUUAAGAAGCCCCGGCUAACUACGUGCCAGCAGCCGCGGUAAUACGUAGGGGGCAAGCGUUAUCCGGAUUUACUGGGUGUAAAGGGAGCGUAGACGGCGACGCAAGUCUGGAGUGAAAGCCCGGGGCCCAACCCCGGGACUGCUCUGGAAACUGCGGCGCUGGAGUACGGGAGGGGCAGGCGGAAUUCCUGGUGUAGCGGUGAAAUGCGUAGAUAUCAGGAGGAACGCCGGUGGCGAAGGCGGCCUGCUGGACUGCGACUGACGUUGAGGCCCGAAAGCGUGGGGAGCAAACAGGAUUAGAUACCCCCGUA